rnacentral:lncRNA from 1 species
GAGCAAUGCCACGCAGGUCAUAUAUCCCACCAAGUACACCGUAAGGCGGCUACAUCGGGGUCCGCGCGGACGCCACGACAAAUUGACCGCAGCGUGUGCCGAGAAUUACGCGCUCGCUGAGAGCGACGAAUUACAAUCGCUAAUGAAUUCGCCGCUUCCUGUCCUCAGAGAAGCACGAGCACGGAUUGCGGCCGGGAAGCUUUUGAAA